ensembl:lncRNA
UGAUUAACUUUUCCCUGAAAUGUUUUAGGUUCUGAUUUGCUACUGGCCCCGUAGAAACGCUGCUGCCAUGGCAAAGGCCUCCCAAAGGCCAGAUAAGGAGCUCUGGAAGCGGCACAAAAUAAGAAUACUCUCCGAGACUGGUGAGAAAACUGAAUAAAUAUAUAGUCAUAUGGAGGUACACUCCCUUUUACAUAGUAAAAUGAUUACAAAAACUAAAAAGACAACUCAAAUUUACUCUGUCCUUAGACAACUAUAAGACAGCCAGAGAGCGAGCCAAAAAAGCUGUAGAAAGUUCAAACGUGGACACAGAAGAAGAGGUGCUAAAAGAGCGGAAAAAAAAGGUACCAUCAAAAUACUGGACAGAGAGUGAAGGUAAACACACGCGAUUGCUUUUUGUCAUGCAUUACUCCGCUGUUUAUGUAUAAAAAUCAUGCCAUAUGCCAUGCAGAGAAAACUACUGUAUAAAACUAAACUAUAUAUAAACUGUUUCAUCCUGAAUUAAUAGGAGAAUGUGAGAUUCCUACCAAAAAAAGGAGAAAAAUGUCCACAUCCUCUCAAAAGCCAUCAAGCCUCCCAAAGCCUCCAAGUUACAAACCACCUACUGACAUCACAAUCACAGCUCACUCACCUGAGGAAGAUGAGCCAUCCCUGCCAAAUCUUUCAGCUAAUAAUACUUUCCAUGAUUUCCAGCAUCUCAUCGAGCAAUCUGAGCAGCGGAUGCUCCUCGCAAUAGAGAGAAUGUCGACAGAUAUUUCAAAUUCUAUUGAGCGUCUGGUCCAGACUAUUCAACAGAAUCAUCCUGGUCCGGCAACCAUCACAACACCACCACAGGAGACCAUUGAGAGGCCCUGCAAAACAGUGCAGGAGCUGCAAGCUUUCAUAUUAAAACUUGAGGGCCCAGAAGGGAAAAAGGAUGGUAUGUUGAUAUAG